UAAUUGAAGAGUUUGAUCAUGGCUCAGAUUGAACGCUGGCGGCAGGCUUAACACAUGCAAGUCGAGCGGUAACAUAUCUAGCUUGCUAGAUGAUGACGAGCGGCGGACGGGUGAGUACAACUUGGGAAUCUGCCUGAUGGAGGGGGACAACCACUGGAAACGGUGGCUAAUACCGCAUAACCUCUUUCUGUAAUAGGGGGGAGCAAAGUGGGGGACCUUCGGGCCUCACGCCAUCAGAUGAGCCCAAGCAAGAUUAGCUAGUUGGUAGGGUAAAGGCCUAC
rnacentral:ncRNA from 1 species